AAAGAAGUGAUACGGCGAGGCAAACGACCUUAUCGGAGACAGUGCAGCCUGAAUGCUUCGUCACACCUCUAAAAUACAAACAGCAUCAUGUCAGAUUGUCUGACAGUAAAUUUGGGGAAUAACAUAUAUGGCAGUGAGGUGCUGCUGCCGGUAUACACAACUGAACCAAAAUAAAACAAAAUAUGGAAGAUAA